UAGAGUUUGAUCCUGGCUCAGAUUGAACGCUGGCGGCAUGGCUAAAGCAUGCAAGUCGAGCGAGAAGCGGGCUUCGGCCCGUGGACAGCGGCGAAAGGGCGAGUAAUGCGCUCCUUACGUACCCCAAGGCGGGGGAUAGGUCGUGGAAACGCGACGUAAUACCCCAUGUGAUCUCCGGAUGAAAGGCUUCGGCCGCCUUGGGAGCGGGGAGCGUCCUAUCAGGUUGUUGGUGAGGUAACGGCUCACCAAGCCAAAGACGGGUAGCGGGUGUGAGAGCAUGACCCGCCGCAUCGGGACUGAGACACUGCCCGGACUCCUACGGGAGGCUGCAGCGACGAAUCUUCCGCAAUGCGCGAAAGCGUGACGGAGCAAUGCCGCGUGUGGGAUGAAGCGGCUUCGCCGUGUAAACCACUGUCAGGGGUUAGAAACACUGAUCAACCCCAAAGGAAGGGCCGGCUAACCUCGUGCCAGCAGCCGCGGUAAGACGAGGGGCCCAAGCGUUAAUCGGAAUUACUGGGCUUAAAGGGUGCGUAGGCGGAUGCGAAGGUGUCUUGUGAAAUCCCUCGGCUCAACCGAGGAACUGCACGGCAAACCACGUGUCUUGAGACAGGUAGAGGUCGUCGGAACGAUAGGUGGAGCGGUGAAAUGCGUAGAUAUCUAUCGGAACGCCAAUGGAGAAGUCAGGCGACUGGGCCUGUUCUGACGCUGAGGCACGAAAGCGUGGGUAGCGAACGGGAUUAGAUACCCCGGUAGUCCACGCCCUAAACGAUGUGCACUAGGUCGUGGCGGUUCUGACACCGUCUCGGCCGCAGAGAAAUCAUUAAGUACACCGCCUGGGGAGUACGGUCGCAAGGCUAAAACUCAAAGGAAUUGACGGGGGCUCACACAAGCGGUGGAGCAUGUUGCUUAAUUCGAAGUAACGCGAAGAACCUUACCAGGGUUUGACAUGCACGGAUUAACUCUAAGAAACUAGAGCCACACCCUCGGGUGGAACGUGCACAGGUGCUGCAUGGCUGUCGUCAGCUCGUGCUGUGAAGUGUCGGGUUAAGUCCCUUAACGAGCGCAACCCCUAUCGCUAGUUGCCAUCACUUCGGGUGGGGACUCUAGCGAGACUGCCGGUGUUAAACCGGAGGAAGGUGGGGAUGACGUCAAGUCCUCAUGGCCUUUAUAUCCAGGGUUGCAAACGUGCUACAAUGGCGUGUACAGAGCGAAGCAAGCCCGCGAGGGGGAGCAAAUCGCAAAAAGCACGCCCCAGUUCGGAUUGGAGUCUGCAACUCGACUCCAUGAAGUUGGAAUCGCUAGUAAUCGGAGAUCAGCUACGCUCCGGUGAAUACGUUCCUGAGCCUUGUACACACCGCCCGUCAAGUCAUGGAAGCCGGGAGCGCCCGAAGCCGUCGCGAUUCAGCGACGACCACGGCGAGUUCGGUGACUGGGACUAAGUCGUAACAAGGUAACC
rnacentral:rRNA from 1 species